rnacentral:rRNA from 1 species
AGUGAACGCUGGCGGUAGGCCUAACACAUGCAAGUCGAACGGCAGCACAGGAGAGCUUGCUCUCUGGGUGGCGAGCGGCGGACGGGUGAGGAAUACAUCGGAAUCUACCUUUUCGUGGGGGAUAACGUAGGGAAACUUACGCUAAUACCGCAUACGACCGAGAGGUGAAAGUGGGGGACCGCAAGGCCUCACGCGACUAG